AUUGAACGCUGGCGGCAUGCCUUACACAUGCAAGUCGAACGGUAACGGGUCCUUCGGGAUGCCGACGAAUGGCGAACGGGUGAGUAAUAUAUCGGAACGUGCCCAGUAGUGGGGGAUAACUGCUCGAAAGAGCAGCUAAUACCGCAUACGACCUGAGGGUGAAAGGGGGGGAUCGCAAGACCUCUCGCUAUUGGAGCGGCCGAUAUCAGAUUAGCUAGUUGGUGGGGUAAAGGCCUACCAAGGCAACGAUCUGUAGUUGGUCUGAGAGGACGACCAGCCACACUGGGACUGAGACACGGCCCAGACUCCUACGGGAGGCAGCAGUGGGGAAUUUUGGACAAUGGGCGCAAGCCUGAUCCAGCAAUGCCGCGUGCAGGAAGUAGGCCUUCUGGUUGUAAACUGCUUUUGUCAGGGAAGAAAUCUUCUGGGCUAAUACCCCGGGAGGAUGACGGUACCUGAAGAAUAAGCACCGGCUAACUACGUGCCAGCCGCCGCCGUAAGAC
rnacentral:rRNA from 1 species